rnacentral:rRNA from 1 species
UACGUAGGGUGCGAGCGUUGUCCGGAAUUAUUGGGCGUAAAGCGCGUGUAGGCGGCCACACAGGUCCGCUGUGAAAACUCGAGGCUCAACCUCGAGCUGUCGGUGGAAACCGUGUGGCUAGAGUUCGGAAGAGGAGAUUGGAAUUCCCGGUGUAGCGGUGAAAUGCGUAGAUAUUGCUCGGAAGGCCAGAGCCGAAGGGGCCCUACUGGUACGUAACUGACACUGAGGCACGAAAGCGUGGGGAGCAAACAGG